rnacentral:rRNA from 1 species
ACGGAAGGCAGCAGUGGGGAAUAUUGGGCAAUGGGGGAGACCCUGACCCAGCAACGCCGCGUGAAGGAAGAAGGCCUUCGGGUUGUAAACUUCUUUUACCAGGGACGAUAAUGACGGUACCUGGAGAAAAAGCAACGGCUAACUACGUGCCAGCAGCCGCGGUAAUACGUAGGUUGCAAGCGUUGUCCGGAUUUACUGGGUGUAAAGGGCGUGUAGGCGGAGCUGCAAGUCAGAUGUGAAAUCCCGGGGCUCAACCCCGGAACUGCAUUUGAAACUGUAGCCCUUGAGUAUCGGAGAGGCAAGCGGAAUUCCUAGUGUAGCGGUGAAAUGCGUAGAUAUUAGGAGGAACACCAGUGGCGAAGGCGGCUUGCUGGACGACAACUGACGCUGAGGCGCGAAAGCGUGGGGAGCAAACAGGAUUAGAUACCCUGGUA